UUCUAUGCUCCAACCUGAGACUCACUAUUGAGGAAGUGAAGUUGUUAGGGUUUGACCCUUUGAAAGCUGAGUUUCACUUUGGUGCUUCAAGCUAAAAGGGCUAUUUCGAAACCCCUUUGGGAUGUCAAAGUCGACGGCUUGAAAAAAUGGGGUUGGUUUGAGGAUGAUAAAGGGUCCCAGGAACAUGGCGGUGGAUGUUGGGAGUUUUAAGUGUGCCAGCAAUAGUUCAGGUUUUCCUCAUGCUUUUACUGCUUGAGUCCCUCAGACGAAUAUUUAUAAAGGAUGCUUGCAGCAACAUUAAAAAGGGGAGGAACUAGGAAGACUUUGUGAAUGUGGAGAAAACUCUAAAAAAGAGGUUGAGGAUUUGGAGAAAAUCCCACGCAAAGAAGAAGAACGAUAUGGGAGUGUCACCGCACAGCGCCGACGACGUCUUCGGUUGCACUGCAGUGGAGCGGUGGUUGGUGUUCGCGUUGCUCCUUGGUUCCUGGGUGAAGAAGAAAACCCUAGUUAUUUUGAAAUAUUAGGUGUACUUUUUUCCUUUUACAUUAACAUUGUCAUGUCAAUUAGGUCACAAUUGCCACGUAAUGAAAAAUUGUACAGGUCAUUCAUUGUUGUCUAAGUUGGACAUUAUGCCAUAAGCAAAAAUGACCAGCUUGAACCGUUUUUAUAA